GGGCCGGUAGUUCAGCCUGGUAGAAUAUCCGCCUUGCACGCGGAGGGUCGCGGGUUCAAAUCCCGCCCGGUCCA
rnacentral:tRNA from 1 species